AUUGAGUUUGAUCCUGGCUCAGAACGAACGCUGGCGGCAUGCCUUACACAUGCAAGUCGAACGGCAGCGGGGGUGCUUGCACCUGCCGGCGAGUGGCGAACGGGUGAGUAAUGCAUCGGAACGUACCCAGUCGUGGGGGACAACGCAGCGAAAGCUGUGCUAAUACCGCAUACGUCCUGAGGGAGAAAGCAGGGGAUCUUCGGACCUUGUGCGAUUGGAGCGGCCGAUGUCAGAUUAGCUAGUUGGUGAGGUAAAAGCUCACCAAGGCGACGAUCUGUAGCUGGUCUGAGAGGAUGAUCAGCCACACUGGAACUGAGACACGGUCCAGACUCCUACGGGAGGCAGCAGUGGGGAAUUUUGGACAAUGGGGGCAACCCUGAUCCAGCAGCCGCGGUAAUAAU
rnacentral:rRNA from 1 species